GUUCCCACUUCUCCUCAACGGCGUUCCGUUCCCACUAAUCCUCAACGGCGUUACCUUCGUGCCGUUCCCACUUCUCACUGGCGUUACCUUCCCUCUGUUCCCACUUCUCACUGGCGUUACCUUCCCUCUGUUCCCACUUCUCACUGGCGUUACCUUCCUUCUGUUCCUACUUCUCCUCAUGCCAUUACCUUCCUGCCAUUCCCACUUCUCACGCAUUACCUUCCUGCUGUUCCCAAUUCUCUCUGGCGUUACCUUCCUGCUGUUCUGCCGUUCACGCAUGUUUAUAUGUGUUUGCAUGUUUGCGCAUGUGUUUACAUGUGUUUGCAUGUGCCUGUGUCUGCAUAUGCGCAUUUCCCUGAAUCGACUGAGGGGUCAGGACGCCUCCUCCCCACUAGCUGUGCUGACCUGGGAGCAGCAGGUUCGGCCCUCACCCCAGGUAGGAUGUGCCCCCUCCUUGAUAUGCCCACUUCAGCGAAUCACAUGUGGCCUGAGGGCUCUGCUCAAGGGCCCUAGCCAGGAAACAGCCUGCUGGGAGGCCAAGCAGGUGCCCCCACACCUGUGGUGGACAUUGACUCCCUCCAGGCGGUGGCUGAGGGCAGCCCCAGCCAAGUCUGUGCCAGCCGAGGCUGCUGGGGACCCUUCCUCUCCCCCUUCCCUGUUCUGUUCUUCCUUCCCACCCUUCCUCCUCCCUCCCUCCUUUUCUUUUUUUGGGUUUCACCUUAGACUAAGUAAACACACUGGCCUGAAUUAUGUAAGCCCCUCUUGCAGCCUGGGCAGAUACAUUUAAAAAUAAAACUUGUCAGGUGUUGUUACCUUCCAGCCUCCUCAAAGCUGAGCUGUCCAAUCUCAGGACUAUUUACAGCCACACCAGCAGCAGUGCUGACUCGGCACCACAGGCGCGGCCUCUUGUGGGGAAGGAGCAGGGACCCUCCACCGUGCUUGGUUUCUUUCCCCACCUUCCUCUCGGCGGGGCUGGGAGUGGGGUGAUUUGGAAACACUCAGAGGGUUUAGACAUGAAUGAGUCAGGUCGAAUUCCCCACUCUGGACAGCGAGUCCAGGCACUGCCUGGCGGUCUGGUUGGGGUUCCUGGGGGGAGGUUCAGAGCAGGGUAUGGCAGGAGCAAGACCCGGGUGUCUUGCGUCCCCGAAAGGAGCAAGAGGAGGCAGCAGGAAACCCGGACGGCGCUGAGCGGAGGCCUGGGCGCACGUCCUGGAGGAAGAGGCAUCGUUACCAGGAGUGCCCGAGGCACAGUGCACAGAUGGGCUGGUACAGGGUCCUGGGAGCACUGCGGGACCGGGCAGGGCUCUGCUGAGCCUCAGGAGAGGGAGGGCGCUGGUUCCCGCAUCCUGUCCCCCUCCCCUGGUGAUCUGCCAAGGGGAGCAGCCCAGGGAGGGGGAGCUGGGAGUCAGGGAGCGCUGUCCUUCAUGAGUACAAAUCCAAAUCCCAGGCCGGCUCCCCAGGAGCAUAGGCUGCAAGGACAGGGCACCAGUUGUUUAUUUGGGUCAGGACUCAGGGGAGGGGGAAGUUCACCCCAGGAGCAGAGCUGUCCACCCACUUGGUCCCUGGAUCCCCCAGGUCCUGGAGGGCCUGACCUCAAGGAACUGACUCUGCCUGGGCUGGUAGGGCUCUGACCCCUGGCUCCCGUGCGGCCAGAGACUGCCAAACACGAGUGAGAGGCGGUUUAAUUGUCUGCUGUGGUCUUAAAAACCAGGAGGCCCAGAGUCGCAGCAAUCGGCCGUGCUUCUUUAGAGGCCCCUCCCUCCGCCUCCCACAGGGCAGCCACUCCAGCACCCCUUUCAGGUUCUUCCCCAGCCCAGGCCCUGCUCCCUGGCCCUCCCUCUUGCUACUGGUUCCCGACACUCACGUUCCUCCCACGGGACCACGACUGAGACAGCACAUGAGGGCCCACUGUGAGUAUCUGGGGCCCGUUUUAUGCACAGAGAGCCCGGCACUCGCCAUCAGAUCCGUCUCCUACCUGCUCUAAGCCACACUGCCCUCCUGCCAGGCUGGUAGGGUCUCUGGGGCCGGGCUGGGUAGACGGGGCUGCGCAGCUGGAGAUGUGCCCACCUCCCUGCCUGUGACCCCAGCCAGGUGCCCUGACUCAGGCACUGGCGGCCAGUCCUGAGGUUGCUCAGCACAGCCCCUCCCUCACCGCUGCCCCCAAGCCAUCGCUUGCCAGAGGCCGGCUUGCUAUCCUCAUGGCUCUGGGAAGUCACUUCGGAGAAACUGACCUCUGAGUGGGAAAGUGACUCACUCGCCGAGGUUCAGGACGGACUCAGCGGCAAGGGCGUCUUGGAGGGAGGUCCCGAGUGUCAGGGUUCUCCUCUCAUCUCCUCCCAUCCAGCACCAGGUACUGAAGUUGCCUGCCUCUUCCCUCAUGUCAGGGACAGCCCCGUCCCCCAGCACCCAAGGAUGACAGUAUGUCCUGAUAGCCAGCGAGGCCCACAUCCCACACCUGGCCACACGCACCAGCGUGGCCUCCAGGAGAGGGUGUGAGGUCUCCUCCAGCUGUCCACGGUGGGCCCAGACAUAGGAUCUUCCCCUGUGGGGAGGACGGGGGGCAACCCACCCUGGGGAGAGGGGUGAGCCACCCACAGAGAAUGAGGCUAGGCCCACUUGGGCCUGAGGGCAUGGCCUGCACCCAGCUGGGCAGGCUGGGCAGGGGCAGACUGGAUGGGAAUGGGAGCUGAGGCUGCCCUGGAGGGGUUGGAGCUGUGCCCACUGGGGAUGGAUGGACACCCCUGGAUGACGGACACCCCUGGUCAGCCAGUGGCCCAGCUCAUGCCCCUGUUCAGAGGCCCAGCCCAGCCCAGCACACACAAAGCCAGGCGUCAGGGCUCAGGCACAGAGCACGGCCAUGGCCAGAUGUCCCCGGGCCCCUCUGGGGAGUGUGCAGGGGCCGCCCGGGGUGGGCUCUGGCUGCCGGGUCCUGCCUCGGUGCUGAGGAUAUCAGCCCAGGUCCCCAUUGCCCUUGACCCAGGGGGCUGACACCCCCCAGUGCAGAAAGAAUGGCCCAAGGGGGUUGGCGGGGGUGCUCCAUGGAGAAGGGGCUAUCUGAGCCCCUCAGGCACCCUCUGCCAGCCAUGCCUGCCCUGAGCGGCUGCCCUGCAGCACCUGGACUGUCUCUUUGGGAUGGGCCUCAGUCCCUCUCCCCAGGGGAUUUGCUGUACAGCCCCACAGGGACGCCCAAGGGAUCGCUAUCUUGGUGGCUGGAGGAAGAAGACACGUGUGGCAGUGGCCAUGUGGUCUUGUUGGGAGUGGCCACCUGCCCUCCUGGGGUCUCCAGGCCAGAGGCCAGGCCACAGGCCAACCAAGGACAGCCUGGCCAUCUGGCCCUAGCCAGGCUGGACCUCCUGUGUGGAUUCUGAAAUCCACCGGCUUCCCAGGGUUGUCAACCCCUGGGCUCUCGCUCCUGUGGGGAUGGGUGUUUCCCUCUCUGGCGAGAUAUUUCCAAAUUCAGAGGCUGUGAUGUGAUGGCUGGGGUCCUGUGGUGCCGGGCUGUGCCUUCCAGAGGCGCCAGCUUCAGGCUGUGACUGGUGACGAGAAUCUAGGUCAGCCCACGCCACUCACAGCCUCCUUCCAGCGUGGCAUCGUCCCAGCCUCAGUCCACACACAGCUCCCCCAAAACCCUGCAGCGCCAUUUCUGUUCUGGUUCCAGGUGGGCUCUGCCGCUGCCUGUGAGAUGAGACCAGAUCCUCGCCACCCGCACCUGCCUCUCCCCCACUCGCCCUGCGCGGGACAGGUGGACACCGUCCACACCUACCUCUCCCCCACUCACCCUGCCUGGGAGAGGUGGACACUGUCUGCACCUGCCUCUCCCCAACGCGCCCUGCCCGGGAGAGGUGGAUGCUGCCCGCACCUGCCUCUCCCCCACUCUCCCUGCCUGGGAGAGAUGGAUGCUGCCUGUGCCUGCCUCUCCCCGACUUGCCCUGCCCAGGAGAGGUGGAUACCAAGCAUGCCCUUGGCAACUUGCUGCCCACACACGGUGCGGUCCAGGCUGCGGCGUCACAGCCCUGGAGCCUGCUGGGAGUGCACAGCCCAAUAGCCACCCCAGCCCCUCUUCGAGGGCAGAUUCCCAUCAGCCUGAGCUGCUUGCAGGAUGAGUACAGGGGUCCCUCCGUAGGGCAGAGCCAGGAGCUGCGGAAAUGCUCUUUGCCGAGGCCCCACCCAGAUGCCCCACGGGGUGUCCCCUGGCUGAGUCCACAGGGAGGGUCAAGGCUGCCUCGGCCGUGUCUGCGGUGCACGUCCCCGGUGCAGGCUGUGUCUCCUCGCAGCCCCAACUGACUUCCUUUCCUUCCUGUGGUCUGCACUUCCACCGUCCUUACCCCCUCCUUAUCCUCAGAGACACCUCCUGACACCCUCCUCCAUGCUCUGCCCUGGUUGGGAUGCCUCUUGGGCUGUUCCGGGCCCCAGGCUAGAGCCACUGCCUCUGUUUCUCUGGGUGAGUCCUUGCCCCGCUGCAGGAAACCUCCGCGUGCUGUCUAAGAAGUCGUGCAAACUGGCCAGGCCUGGAAGGGCUGAGGCAUCCUUUCUCCCUGAUGGAUGGUUUGCGUGAGUAUAAAAUUCAAGGCUGGAAGCCAGAUUCCUGUGGAAUUUGGAAGGCCCGGCUCCACUGUCUUCCGGCUCCAGCGUUGUCGAGGCUACGUCUGACGUCUGUGCUGACUCUGAUUCCCAUGUGGGGACGGCCCUGGGGUCCUGCCGUCCUGGGACAUCGCUCCGGCACCCCUAUGCUGCUUCUUGAAAUGUUUCUGUCGACUUCCCACCUCCCGGGAAUUUGUUGAAUCUUUUUUCUGUGAAUGCCAGUUCUGUCUUCCUCACGGCUGGUUAAUUCCCUUCUUCUCCUUAACUGUCAUCACAUGGGGUUAAUGAGAGGAGGAGAGAAAACGUCUGUGGUUUUGUUUUCCUUCCUGGAUUUCGAGGAUGCAGAUGCGUCCUUGGGGGAAAGGUGGGCUCGGGAUCCAGGCAUAGACCGUGCGGGGGCCUCUCCAGGAGCCAGCGUGGGGGAGUCCAGCGCAGCAGGGCCAGGGCCAGGUGGGGCAGAGUGAAGACACCAGGGUACCGCGGGGCCAGUGAGUUUGUUGCCUCAGCUGAGACAAAGUCUCAACAGGUCAUAGUGUUCCUCUUCUGUGAGGUCUUUCCACGCACCAGGCCAGGGUGUCAUCACCAGACCCCUCCGGUGCUGAAGGAUCUCCCUGGAAAAUAGAUAUUAAUUGCUUUUC
rnacentral:lncRNA from 1 species